UGGGGAAUAUUGCACAAUGGAGGGAACUCUGAUGCAGCGACGCCGCGUGAACGAAGAAGGCUUUCGAGUCGUAAAGUUCUUCUAUAUGGGAAGAUAAUGACGGUACCAUAAGAAAAAGCCCCGGCUAACUACGUGCCAGCAGCCGCGGUAAUACGUAGGGGGCUAGCGUUGUCCGGAAUCACUGGGCGUAAAGGGUUCGCAGGCGGAAAUGCAAGUCAGGUGUAAAAGGCAGUAGCUUAACUACUGUAAGCAUUUGAAACUGCAUAUCUUGGGAAGAGUAGAGGUAAGUGGAAUUUUUAGUGUAGCGGUGAAAUGCGUAGAUAUGAAAAAGAAUACCGGUGGCGAAGGCGACUUACUGGGCUCAUUCUGACGCUGAGGAACGAAAGCGUGGGUAGCAAACAGG
rnacentral:rRNA from 1 species